AAUUUAAACCAUGACCCUAAUCAAAUGCAAACAUAAAAACAAUAUCAGCUACAAUAUCUAUAUCCAAAGUCAGGCUCUCGUAUUUACAAAUUCCAAUUUUUCCCCCAAAAAAAGUUCAUGAAUAAAGUCAAAUUGUACAGAAACAGAAACCACAUAACUUCAUAUUACACAGCAGCCAAAAUCCGCACUGUCUAUAUUAUCUAAUGUAAAGACACAUCUGAUAGCGUUCUGUCUUAUGGACAUCUCUUUGCACAAUCAGACGACAUUUUAAAAAAAAUCUUAAUUUAUGCAGAAUCCUCUUUCCAUAACAACAUGCUGUACAUGUGGCCAUUAAAAGCACUUCCAUCUGUGGCUAUUUUUAUCACCAGACACAGAGAUAGGAGAGAAAAACAUUUUCAAGGUGGCUUGCCCGUUCUUACAAAACCAAUACCAGCCCUGGAUAUUCCCAAGACGAUUCCCAGAGCUGUAAACACCGAUCAUGUUCCUGCACACUGCCUGGACAGCACAGGAAUACAGUUGAAGGCUGACCAGAACAGCAUGUUCCCUCUGUCAACAUUAAUGCUCCAUUCAAACGGCAGCUACCUUCAAUCCACAGCUGACAGAGCUGAGCUGCUUCAGGCCCUGCAGGCUUUAGUUGAUGCCAUUCAUUACAAAUGCUGCUCUCUGACCCAACACGGUUUCAUCGCCUCCAACACACACCAGGACACCAGCGAGCAUCAUGAUGGUGGCUUGAAUCAUAGCAGCUCACUGAGUGCUCUGGCCUUGCCACAGCAGGUGCAGAGUGAUGCUAAAAUACUGAGGUCCAAGAGGGCAAGGUGAACGAGGAUGUGAUCUCUCAUGUCAGUAAUCAGCAGCUCUACAGGAGUCUGGCCCGUCUGUCUGUUAUUUCACUGUCUGGGCAAUUGUGAACAAAUGGGUGUGCCACCAAACGUGCAACCAUUAUCACUUCAGCUCAGCCUCGGUUUAAUUAAACACCGGCCUGGUAUUAUUUUGAAUUGCAGGCUGAGGUUGCAGACAGGUCGGGUUGAAUGGAAGCUGAAAGAGCUGCACUGUGCUAACGUUUAAACAAUGGUUGGCUGGCUAACGUUAGCUGAUGUUACCACAAAGCGGCGAGCCCCCUCCUCCUCCCUGGUGAAAACAACUAGUUAGCUUCAAGAUAAAAUAUAAAAAAUGCUAAAACCUCUGCUGGGAUUUUAAACGACCUCGCCAGUCAAUUUAAACUAAGUCCCUAACGCUACGGGAAGCUUUAGACGCCAGUUAAAGGUAACUUAGCCACAUUUGCUCGCGUUGCUGAAACGGGGGUGGAGAUUUGUAUUUUGGUGAGCGACUCCCCAGAUGUGAAUAUCCAGAAAACACCACAGAGCAAAGUUUAGAGGCAGCGGAUUUGGAGCCUAUCCCAAAAUGCAUCAACAGAAGGAAGGGAAAUCCGCGGGGACUAUUUCCAAAGCUGCCGCAAGGAUUACAAGGAUUUUCUGGGAGAUAUUUUCCUUCAGCUGUCACCUGCCCCGUGAUGUCAGACUUCAUUUGACUAAUUCGAUAAGAGCGCUCUCUGCUGUGACCAUUUAACCAAAAGAGCAAGUGAAGGCCAGGAGAGGACUAGAGUCAAUUCAUCUGCAAGGUACAGUACAUUUCAAAAAUCAGAUACCUUUCAAAAGCUGCAGUUUUCAGACACAGAUCUCAUGAUAUUCUUCACCUAAAGUUGCUCUAGUUGUUAUUAAGCAUUCACAAUAUUGGAUUUUUGUUGAUAUCUCACACAGUGAUAUUUUCUAACUUAUUUUAACUGCUUUAUGCACAUGGAGUCAUGGAAAAGUUAUUAGACUACCCUUGUUUUCUUUAAUUUCUUGUUCAUUUCAAUGCCUGGUACAACUAAAGGUACAUUUGUUUGGACAAAUAUAAUGAUAACAACAAAAAUAAAUCCUAAGAGUUUAAUUUAAGAGCUGACAUCUAGACA